GGCAGUGUAGCCAAGUGGUUACGGCGUCACGUUUAGGCUUUUCAGCAUUAUACCGUGAUGGGUUUCCCGCGCGAGUUCGAAUCUCGUCACUGUCA